UUGAAUGGCCGCGAUAUUUUGAUCGUGCUAAGGUAGCAUAAUCAUUAGUUUUUUAAUUGAAAGCUGGAAUGAAGGGUUGGAUGAAAAAAUAACUGUUUUUAUUUAAAUUUAUUAAAAUUUUAUUUUUAAGUUAAAAAGCUUAAAUUUAAUUAAAAGACGAGAAGACCCUAUAGAGUUUAAUAAAUUUUUAUUAUUUUAUAUUUAGUAUUAAUUUUUUAAUUUUAAAAAUUUAUUUGAUUGGGGUGAUUAAAAAAUUUAAUUAACUUUUUUUUAAUUAUUAUAUUUAUUUAUAAAUUUUUGAUCCAAUAUUUUUGAUUAUAAGAUUUAAUUACCUUAGGGAUAACAGCGUUAUUUUAUUAGAAAGUU
rnacentral:rRNA from 1 species